rnacentral:tRNA from 3 species
GCCGAAGUGGCGGAAUUGGUAGACGCGCAUGAUUCAGGUUCAUGUGCCCGAAAGGGUGUGGAAGUUCGAGUCUUCUCUUCGGCACCA